AUGCCGAAACACUGAGGAUUUCAACAGAGCACUCUCGCUUUAAAAGUGCUUAGAAGCAAACUGAAAGUGGAAGGUCAGGAAUCACAGGCGCUGGGAAGGACCUGGACGCGUGGUGUACCUGGGGACACUGUCUGUCUGCUUUCUCCUUGAAGAGAUACCAAGCUGUCAUGAGAUGAUUCUCCUCCUCGCAGCGGGAGGCUCCCAGCAGCUGGGGAC
rnacentral:lncRNA from 1 species